rnacentral:lncRNA from 1 species
CUCCUCACUAGGGAGCACAUAAAAACAUCGUCGUGUAUAUCUUGAGCUGCCUUUCAAACGUACCUUAACGUCCCUGUUCACACUCCCAGGCGCGACACCUCCUUAAAUACGCCACAUCAAUAAAUACACCAAAAAUCACCAAUCACACAAUCCCAUUUUCGUUCUCCAUUCUUCUUUGGAAGAAAAGAAAUUGAUCUGCAUUCUGAGAGAAUUAAGAGAAAAAAAUGAACAGCGCAAAGGGAAGAACAACAAACGAGGUUGGAAAUGAUGGGGUAGCCAUCAUUACCAUCAUCAAUCCUCCUGUUAACUCUCUAUCACUGGACGGUACUAUUAUCGAUUUCGCUACUUUCGCUUCAGAUCUCUUUGUGUACCCUGACUAGUAUUACUAAAAUCUUGGACUUAAGGAUUGAAUUUCACUUUUCUUUGAUGGGUUCGUUUUGAAUUUUUGUAGAAAGUUUUUUUCUUGACGUUCGUGUCAAAUUAUGGCU